UCGAGGGAUGGAAAAGAGGGCCAACCCAUCAAAUCCCAGCUAUAUCACUUCCAUUUAGCCAAAAACAGGUAAAAAUUCAAUUAAAAUGCUGCAUUGCCAAAUAUUUUUUUGUCUAAAUCUAAUGAUCAUAUGUGCUAAUAUAACUUUGAUAGGACAGACCCUCCACUCGGCCAACAUGGCUUAUAGUACCAUUGCAGCACAACAAAAUCCUGAACUAUAAUAGGAGAAGGAUACACAUU
rnacentral:misc_RNA from 1 species